UAUGUUUAAUACAAAUGUGAAUGUGUUUGUUCAGGUAAAGUUGUCAGUGCAGUCGGCCUUCACCAGGUGGUGCACUGAAGAGAGAAGACUAGGUCCAGGUCUUAUCUCACCAUGAGCUGAGCUGGCUCAUCAACACGGAUAUAAAAGUCCACUGCGCACUGGAUUAAAGUAAAGGUGGACACUGGAGACUGACUGAACGUCACUUUUGUAGCUGUCUGCAUUCUUCACUAGAAGUCUCCUGCACACUGGGUUUCAGUUAGGUGAAGUCGUAGUUUACUUUGAUACUCUGAAGACUGAAGUACACCCCACUGUAUCUGUGCUGCUUUCUUCACCUGCACACUGGACAGGUGUCUACAGAUCUAGAAGGAGCCUAAAGGACUUGAGUGCAGCUCACACACAGCUGAAGGAUCCUCACAUCUUUUCUCUUCAGGCUGUUUAUUGACCUUAUACAUCAGUUCAUGUCCAACAGUCAGUUUACA